CCCGAUGUGGGAAAUUUAAUUUCUGAAGUUUUGGUUGUUGAACUGAGAGUCUGAGACUAUCUAUCAGACUAGCGCAAAUGGAAGCAAUAAGGGUUUAAUGGAAUUCCAAAGCUGAUGGUUUGAUCAACAGUUAUUGAUUCAUCAUCGAGGUAAGAUGGAAAUUUCUUCAAUUCCUCAGUUGUUACGUUUUUGCAUUUUUAUUCUAUUUUGAAGAAGAUUAGCAUCUCAAUCGCUUCAUAGUUGUGUAUAAUUCCAUUAGGGAAUAUUAUCAUGUCCCCUGCCGCACAAAUUGAGAAAUGGUCCCAAAAAAAAUUUCCCACAAAUCCCUGCCAUGGAUCCCUUGUUCCCCCGUGAAAAUUCGGCAAGUAUUCACUAAGCUGCACUUGAGUUUUGGAUUUCCUUAAAUUUUUAGGGUUUUCCAUUUCCCUAACCUGCUUUACCGCGUUUGACAUUCUGAUACAUGAUGGCCAUUGAACUGGGAAUCCUGAAUUCAUGGCUAAUAUGAGAUGAUGAUGGAGAAAGGUGAUGCAAAGAGAUUGAUGGCUCCAUACUUUUCUCUUCCCUUUGAAGCAAAUGUUAAUUAGUUGAACUAUAUUUAUUGGAAAUAAAUA